AAGUCGUAACAAGGUUUCCGUAGGUGAACCUGCGGAAGGAUCAUUAACACUAUUAAUUAGUAUCCAAAACCUUUUGGAUCAACCAACAACUUUACGAACCAAUUGUCUCUUUUUUCUUUGCCCUAUUUUUCAUAACUACAAAUCUGAUUAUCUUUGUGUCUGAUUCAUUUUUUUCCUUUGAAAGAAGGAAAAAACAAAAAAUCUAAACGCAAUACAACUCUUAACAACGGAUAUCUUGGCUCUC
rnacentral:misc_RNA from 1 species